UGUGCCAGCAGCCGCGGUAAUACGUAGGUGGCAAGCGUUGUCCGGAUUUGCUGGGCGUAAAGGAUGCGUAGGCGGAUAUUUAAGUGAGAUGUGAAAUUCCCGGGCUUAACUUGGGAGCUGCAUUUCAAACUGGAUAUCUAGAGUGUGGGAGAGGAGAAUGGAAUUCCUAGUGUAGCGGUGAAAUGCGUAGAGAUUAGGAAGAACACCAGUGGCGAAGGCGAUUCUCUGGACCAUAACUGACGCUGAGGCAUGAAAGCGUGGGUAGCAAACAGGAUUAGAAACCCCGGUAGUCC
rnacentral:rRNA from 1 species